UUGGGACCUUCUGGGGACCUUCUGGGAUCUUCUGGGACCUCUUGGAACCUCUCAGGAACCUUCUGGGGAUCUUCUGGGACCUUCUGGGGAC
rnacentral:lncRNA from 1 species